CUUAGCAGAGAUGCUUUGGUGCCUUCGGGAACUCUGAGACAGGUGCUGCAUGGCUGUCGUCAGCUCGUGUUGUGAAAUGUUGGGUUAAGUCCCGCAACGAGCGCAGCCCUUAUCCUUUGUUGCCAGCGAUUCGGUCGGGAACUCAAAGGAGACUGCCGGUGAUAAACCGGAGGAAGGUGGGGAUGACGUCAAGUCAUCAUGGCCCUUACGGCCAGGGCUACACACGUGCUACAAUGGCGCAUACAAAGAGAAGCGACCUCGCGAGAGCAAGCGGACCUCAUAAAGUGCGUCGUAGUCCGGAUUGGAGUCUGCAACUCGACUCCAUGAAGUCGGAAUCGCUAGUAAUCGUAGAUCAGAAUGCUACGGUGAAUACGUUCCCGGGCCUUGUACACACCGCCCGUCACACCAUGGGAGUGGGUUGCAAAAGAAGUAGGUAGCUUAACCUUCGGGAGGGCGCUUACCACUUUGUGAUUCAUGACUGGGGUGAAGUCGUAACAAGGUAAGCGUAGUGCU
rnacentral:rRNA from 1 species